rnacentral:rRNA from 1 species
UACGUAGGUGGCAAGCGUUACUCGGAAUCACUAGGCGUAAAGCGCAGGUAGGCGGUUCGGUAAGUCUUUUUGUGAAAGCUCCCCGGCUCAACUGGGAGAGGUCAAAGGAAACUACCGGGCUAGAGUGUGGUAGGGGAAACUGGAAUUCCUGGUGUAGCGGUGAAAUGCGUAGAUAUCAGGAGGAACACCUAUGGCGAAAAGCAGGUUUCUGGGCCACUACUGACGCUGAGAAGCGAAAGCAUGGGGAGCGAACAGG